rfam:Salmo salar isolate Sally breed double haploid chromosome ssa21, whole genome shotgun sequence.
UGUAUUCACUACUGUAAGUCGCUCUGGAUAAGAGCGUCUGCAAAAUGUAAAUCU